rnacentral:rRNA from 1 species
AGUGAACUAGCUAACUGGAAUCACAAGUGUGUCACUUGUGAUAGGGAAGGGUAAAAUAAUGAUAUCGCCCUUUUACUAUAGUGUUGUCCAAAGCUGACUCGGUAAGGCCAGAGACGCAAGCGUUAAUCAUCUUGAUCAGGCGUAAAGGGUUUGUAGGCAGCUUAAUUAAUUUAAGCUAGAAUCAUAUGGAGGUCACUGUCAGAGAAUUCUAGUGUAGGGAUAACAUCCGUAGAUACUCAGGAGGAAUUCAAAUCUAGCGAAGGCACUUUUCCAAGUAAUGAUUGACGCUGAGAAACGAAGGGGAGGAUAGACAAUAGGAUUUGGUACCCUCGCAUCCCUCCCUGUAAACGAUGAAUGGUAGUUGUUAGUAAUAAUUAUUAGUGACGAUGCUAACGCGUUAACCAUUCCGCCUUGUGAGUACGACUGCAAAGUUGAAAACAAAAAAAUUAGUCGGUCUCGGAGCAA